GCCGCGUUAGCUCAGUUGCCUAGAGCUCUUCACUCGUAAUGAAGAUGUCGGGGGUUGGAAUCCCUCACGCGGCUCCA
rnacentral:tRNA from 1 species